rnacentral:rRNA from 1 species
GAUGAACGCUAGCGGCAGGCUUAAUACAUGCAAGUCGAGGGGUAGCAAGAUUGUAGCAAUACAAUUGUUGACGACCGGCAAACGGGUGCGGAACACGUACACAACCUUCCUACAAGUGGGGAAUAGCCCAGAGAAAUUUGGAUUAAUACCCCGUAACAUAGCGAUGUGGCAUCACAUUGCUAUUAUAGCUUCGGCGCUUGUUGAUGGGUGUGCGGCUGAUUAGAUAGUUGGCGGGGUAACGGCCCACCAAGUCUACGAUCAGUAGCUGAUGUGAGAGCAUGAUCAGCCACACUGGAACUGAGACACGGUCCAGACUCCUACGGGAGGCAGCAGUGGGGAAUAUUGGACAAUGGGCGCAAGCCUGAUCCAGCCAUGCCGCGUGUGUGAAGAAGGCCUUCGGGUUGUAAAGCACUUUCAGUAAGGAGGAAGAGUUGAGUGUUAAUAGUACUCAGCUUUGACGUUACUUACAGAAGAAGCACCGGCUAACUCUGUGCCAGCCGCCGCGGUAAAAC